rnacentral:lncRNA from 1 species
ACUAAGUCACAAGGCAACCCUCAUGAUCCCCGGGCAAAAGGGUAGCUCUGUUUUUAAACCCGGAGGAGGCAUCUUCCCCCGGGGGUUGCCGGGCUUCUGUUCCUGUGUGUGUUGGUCUCCAGGAAGCCAUGGAGAGCUUGGCAGCAGGGAAAAUAGUAAUUGAGCAUCAGACAUCACCACUCCUGAAAAAAACCUUCUACAAG